rnacentral:rRNA from 1 species
UACGGAGGAUGCAAGCGUUAUCCGGAAUGAUUGGGCGUAAAGCGUCCGCAGGUGGCAAUGUAAGUCUGCUGUUAAAGAGUCUAGCUCAACUAGAUACAAGCAGUGGAAACUACAUAGCUAGAGUACGUUCGGGGCAGAGGGAAUCCCUGGUGUAGCGGUGAAAUGCGUAGAGAUCAGGAAGAGCACCGGUGGCGAAGGCGCUCUGCUAGGCCGUAACUGACACUGAGGGACGAAAGCUAGGGGAGCGAAUGGG